CAACAGACGAGAAAUGUUAUGAAUGUGGAAGAGAUGGGUGGAUAGACACCUUAGUGACAUUUUAUCAACUCACAAUGUCUAAACUGCAGAUUUUAAGUGUUUUUCUGACAGAGAGAUUAACUUUGGCUGCGCAGGAGAUUUUUAAGGCUGUGGAAGACAUAUUUUCAGAGUAUAAUGAGGAGAUUUGUCGCUCCAGACAGGAGAUUGAGCUGCUCAAGAGGAGACUGCAGCAGGCAGGAGUUCAGAUGGACUCUGAAACGCAGUCUUGCUCCUCUGAGACUCAAGGAAAGAAAUACAUCCAGACAUUUUCAGAGGAAUGGAGAUCUGAACAUGAUUUUAAGGACACUGAGAUGCAUAUGAAACUAGAAGUUUAUACACAGCAGGAGGAGAAUGAAGAGCAAAUGCCUGUAUGCAGUGAAUCAGCAUCUUUAUCACCAUGUAUGGACAAUUAUCAUGAUCAGACGCCCAGCAAAGACACUGAAACCCAAAUGAUGGACAGUAGUGAGAAUAAUUUUCCCUUUAUUAACCAAGGACCACGAAUAAAGACUGAACUUGAGAGUAAUUCUGAAACAAGUACCACCUGUCAAGUACAGCAGCACAUCACACAACACGGCUUGAAUGAUUCAGGGGCCAGUGAUUCUUCCAGUGAUGCCAACAAAAUCACAUUCAGCCACAUUGGCUCCCCCAGACAUGAGACACAAACAUUUAAUCUGCCCCUCAGAAAUCAAGUGAUGUUGACGCAGCAUAGGAUGGAGCUGGCCCAGAUAAGAGAGAGAUUGGCAGAUGAAGAGCGAAAGAAGGCUGCAUCUAAAGCUAGAUCCCUAAAGCACAAGCAGAAAGUGUACGGGAAUCCUGAGCUUCGUGAGGCAUACAGGAAAAAGGAGAGAGAGAGAUAUCAAAGACGAAAAUCUCAGGGGAAAGUGAAAUUCGCUAAAGAUCUGAACCCAAUAGAACUGAGAAGGCAACAGAAAAAGUGGAGGGAGAAUUCAGCUGCUUACAGGAGAAAACAAUCAUUUCGGGAGGUUUUAGUCAACAUUAAAGAAGACAUUAAUCAAGUCAUCCCAGAGCCAGAGCCGUCCACCUCCUCUGAUCAACAUUAUGAAAAUUGCAAUCACAGCAGGAAAGAAACAAGAGGAAUAAGAGUGAAAAUGAGGAAAUUCAAAGAGUAAAGAAGGUCAGACACAUUGAAGAAGUCGCACAUGAUAAAGAACAACAACAAACGCAGUCAAAGACAAACCUGGCUGACAUUUGUUUGGAGGACGUUCAGCAUGAAAAGGAACUGUCUGAAAGCUACCCGACGCAUCAUGAUAUUCACAGAAAUCCACACGGUACAGGAGAGUAUUUGUGUGUUGUGUGCCGCAGGAGAUUCAGCUCACCAGGACUGCUGAAAAUUCAUCUGCGAGUUCACUCUGGAAGAUCACAGUUGUCAUAAACAUUU
rnacentral:lncRNA from 1 species